GAUUAAGUUAUUAAGGGCGCACGGUGGAUGCCUUGGCACUAGAAGCCGAUGAAGGACGUUACUAACGACGAUAUGCUUUGGGGAGCUGUAAGUAAGCUUUGAUCCAGAGAUUUCCGAAUGGGGAAACCCAGCAUGAGUUAUGUCAUGUUAUCGAUAUGUGAAUACAUAGCAUAUCAGAAGGCACACCCGGAGAACUGAAACAUCUUAGUACCCGGAGGAAGAGAAAGAAAAUUCGAUUCCCUUAGUAGCGGCGAGCGAAACGGGAAGAGCCCAAACCAACAAGCUUGCUUGUUGGGGUUGUAGGACACUCUAUACGGAGUUACAAAGGACGACAUUAGACGAAUCAUCUGGAAAGAUGAAUCAAAGAAGGUAAUAAUCCUGUAGUCGAAAAUGUUGUCUCUCUUGAGUGGAUCCUGAGUACGACGGAGCACGUGAAAUUCCGUCGGAAUUUGGGAGGACCAUCUCCUAAGGCUAAAUACUCUCUAGUGACCGAUAGCGAACCAGUACCGUGAGGGAAAGGUGAAAAGCACCCCGGAAGGGGAGUGAAAUAGAACCUGAAACCGUGUGCUUACAAGUAGUCAGAGCCCGUUAAUGGGUGAUGGCGUGCCUUUUGUAGAAUGAACCGGCGAGUUACGAUUUGAUGCAAGGUUAAGCAGUAAAUGUGGAGCCGUAGCGAAAGCGAGUCUGAAUAGGGCGUUUAGUAUUUGGUCGUAGACCCGAAACCAGGUGAUCUACCCUUGGUCAGGUUGAAGUUCAGGUAACACUGAAUGGAGGACCGAACCGACUUACGUUGAAAAGUGAGCGGAUGAACUGAGGGUAGCGGAGAAAUUCCAAUCGAACCUGGAGAUAGCUGGUUCUCUCCGAAAUAGCUUUAGGGCUAGCCUCAAGUGAUGAUUAUUGGAGGUAGAGCACUGUUUGGACGAGGGGCCCCUCUCGGGUUACCGAAUUCAGACAAACUCCGAAUGCCAAUUAAUUUAACUUGGGAGUCAGAACAUGGGUGAUAAGGUCCGUGUUCGAAAGGGAAACAGCCCAGACCACCAGCUAAGGUCCCAAAAUAUAUGUUAAGUGGAAAAGGAUGUGGCGUUGCCCAGACAACUAGGAUGUUGGCUUAGAAGCAGCCAUCAUUUAAAGAGUGCGUAAUAGCUCACUAGUCGAGUGACACUGCGCCGAAAAUGUACCGGGGCUAAACAUAUUACCGAAGCUGUGGAUUGUCCUUUGGACAAUGGUAGGAGAGCGUUCUAAGGGCGUUGAAGCAUGAUCGUAAGGACAUGUGGAGCGCUUAGAAGUGAGAAUGCCGGUGUGAGUAGCGAAAGACGGGUGAGAAUCCCGUCCACCGAUUGACUAAGGUUUCCAGAGGAAGGCUCGUCCGCUCUGGGUUAGUCGGGUCCUAAGCUGAGGCCGACAGGCGUAGGCGAUGGAUAACAGGUUGAUAUUCCUGUACCACCUAUAAUCGUUUUAAUCGAUGGGGGGACGCAGUAGGAUAGGCGAAGCGUGCGAUUGGAUUGCACGUCUAAGCAGUAAGGCUGAGUAUUAGGCAAAUCCGGUACUCAUUAAGGCUGAGCUGUGAUGGGGAGAAGACAUUGUGUCUUCGAGUCGUUGAUUUCACACUGCCGAGAAAAGCCUCUAGAUAGAAAAUAGGUGCCCGUACCGCAAACCGACACAGGUAGUCAAGAUGAGAAUUCUAAGGUGAGCGAGCGAACUCUCGUUAAGGAACUCGGCAAAAUGACCCCGUAACUUCGGGAGAAGGGGUGCUCUUUAGGGUUAACGCCCAGAAGAGCCGCAGUGAAUAGGCCCAAGCGACUGUUUAUCAAAAACACAGGUCUCUGCUAAACCGUAAGGUGAUGUAUAGGGGCUGACGCCUGCCCGGUGCUGGAAGGUUAAGAGGAGUGGUUAGCUUCUGCGAAGCUACGAAUCGAAGCCCCAGUAAACGGCGGCCGUAACUAUAACGGUCCUAAGGUAGCGAAAUUCCUUGUCGGGUAAGUUCCGACCCGCACGAAAGGCGUAACGAUUUGGGCACUGUCUCAACGAGAGACUCGGUGAAAUCAUAGUACCUGUGAAGAUGCAGGUUACCCGCGACAGGACGGAAAGACCCCGUGGAGCUUUACUGUAUCCUGAUAUUGAAAUUCGGCACAGCUUGUACAGGAUAGGUAGGAGCCUUUGAAACGUGAGCGCUAGCUUACGUGGAGGCGCUGGUGGGAUACUACCCUAGCUGUGUUGGCUUUCUAACCCGCACCACUUAUCGUGGUGGGAGACAGUGUCAGGCGGGCAGUUUGACUGGGGCGGUCGCCUCCUAAAAGGUAACGGAGGCGCUCAAAGGUUCCCUCAGAAUGGUUGGAAAUCAUUCAUAGAGUGUAAAGGCAUAAGGGAGCUUGACUGCGAGACCUACAAGUCGAGCAGGGUCGAAAGACGGACUUAGUGAUCCGGUGGUUCCGCAUGGAAGGGCCAUCGCUCAACGGAUAAAAGCUACCCCGGGGAUAACAGGCUUAUCUCCCCCAAGAGUUCACAUCGACGGGGAGGUUUGGCACCUCGAUGUCGGCUCAUCGCAUCCUGGGGCUGUAGUCGGUCCCAAGGGUUGGGCUGUUCGCCCAUUAAAGCGGUACGCGAGCUGGGUUCAGAACGUCGUGAGACAGUUCGGUCCCUAUCCGUCGUGGGCGUAGGAAAUUUGAGAGGAGCUGUCCUUAGUACGAGAGGACCGGGAUGGACAUACCUCUGGUGUACCAGUUGUCGUGCCAACGGCAUAGCUGGGUAGCUAUGUGUGGACGGGAUAAGUGCUGAAAGCAUCUAAGCAUGAAGCCCCCCUCAAGAUGAGAUUUCCCAACUUCGGUUAUAAGAUCCCUCAAAGAUGAUGAGGUUAAUAGGUUCGAGGUGGAAGCAUGGUGACAUGUGGAGCUGACGAAUACUAAUCGAUCGAAGACUUAAUCAA
rnacentral:rRNA from 1 species